CCCUUAGACGUCCUGGGCCGCACGCGCGCUACACUGACAUGUUCAACAAGUUUCUCCUAGUUCGACAGGACUGGGAAAUCUUUGAACGCAUGUCGUGAUAGGGAUAGAUCAUUGCAAUUAUUGAUCUUGAACGAGGAAUUCCUAGUAAACGCGAGUCAUCAGCUCGCAUUGAUUACGUCCCUGCCCUUUGUACACACCGCCCGUCGCACCUACCGAUUGAAUGUUUCGGUGAAGAUUCCGGAUAGGACUGAUUUGAUUUAUUUCAUUUCUGACCUAAAAGCUAUCUAAACCUCAACAUUUAGAGGAAGGUGAAGUCGUAACA
rnacentral:rRNA from 1 species